rnacentral:rRNA from 1 species
AGGAAAAGAAACUAACAAGGAUUCCCCUAGUAACGGCGAGUGAAGAGGGAAGAGCCCAAGUUUGAAAGCUGGCGUUUGUAUUCAGGCGUCCGCAUUGUAAACUCGAGAAGUGUUAUCCGCGCCGGACCAAAUUCAAGUCCCUUGGAAUAGGGCAUCAUAGAGGGUGAAAGUCCCGUGCUUGAUUUGGAACCCCCGGGGCUUUGUGAUGCACUCUCCAAGAGUCGAGUUGUUUGGGAAUGCAGCUCAAAAUGGGUGGUAAAUGCCAUCUAAGGCUAAAUAUUGAGGAGAGACCGAUAGCGAACAAGUACCGUGAGGGAAAGAUGAAAAGAACUUUGGAAAGAGAGUUAAACAGUACGUGAAAUUGCCGGAAGGGAAGGGUAGGAAGUCAGACAUGCCUUUACAGAUUCAGCCUUGUCCUUUGGACUUGGUGUAUUUCUGUCUUGGGCAGGCCAGCAUCGGUUUGUAUCGCCGGAUAUAGGCUUAGGGAAUGUGGCUUUGCUUUCGGGCAAAGUGUUAUAGCCCUUUGCUGAGUACGGCGAUGUGGACCGAGGAACGCAGCGCACCCUAUUAGGGCGGGCCUUCGGGCACCUUUGCGCUUAGGAUGCUGGCUUAAUGGCUUUCUGCCACCCGUCUUG